AAUCUAGAGCAAUUUUAUUUAUUUAUAUAAACUUUAUAUAAAUACUUGUGCUAGUUGUAUUUUCUGAGAAAGGAAUACAAAACUUUGCAGCCAUCGCAGCAUAGCUUGAGAACGUAAUGUUGGCCCUUUUAUACCGAGGUGCUAGGAGCAAGCCAACUGUCAAUCGAUCGGGGUCUGUGUCACCUUUGGUUGCAUCUUCAUCUCAAACAUGGUUGCACAACUGACAACGUUGCAACGCGGCUGCAACGCGACGGGAGCAUAAUGUUUUGAUGGAUUCGCUUGGUAUGUCUGCAAAUAUUUUCGUUUCAAUUUUAAACAAAGUGGAAUGCCACCAGUUCAUCCCCUGGGUUUUCCAUGCUGCUUUUCAUUCGCGUACAGUGGUGUGUGUGUGUGUGGGUGUGUGUGUGUGUGUGGCACACAUUCGGUGAUGGUUGUGGCAACGCUGCCUUUAUUAUUAUUAUGUAUUACUCUUUAUGUAUCAGCUUCAAUUAAUGUCAGCGUAUGCGCGUAACGAUUUUCUUGUCAUUCAUGCCAGUCAAACAUGACGGGGCUACGGAACGACAGCUAGACAAACAGAUAGACAGAGAGACAGACUGCCAGACAGACAGGCAGGCAGACAGACUGACGACGGGACAGACGGACGAAUAAGGCACAUGCAUAUAUUAAGCAAGGAAACAGCAUAGAAAUGAAGCGGAACGGAGACGAGUCCUGGUCGAGGGGCAGAACAGUUGUGUGUCAGUCCCGUCAUGCGUUUAUUCAGUCGUCAUUCGUUUGCUUUUUUUUUUUUUCUUUUUGGUGCAGAAUUUUCCACUUUUUCCGAUUUUUUCUAUAUUUUGUGCCCCAGUUCGUACUGAGCGCAUUGAAGUGUAUGGCAAAGAAAUCAAAAGAAACCCAAUGGAAUGAGGAUGAAUGUUUUUCUACUGAUUGCUCCUUUUACAUUGUUGUUGCUGUUCAAAAUGUUAAAAAUAAUCGAAGAAAAAAAACAACAAACUGAUAUUUAAAGCAAAUUGUAUUUAACAAAAAAUCCAAACAAAAAUUUGAAUAAUUCGCAUCACGUGUUCCACGAGAAACGUUUAUUAAUGCCUGCGACUCGACGUCAGGUGAGUGCGUAGCCUCACCUGUCCCAAAAGAAACUCGCGUUUAGGUCAAGGUCAAGUCACGUAUUAAAUAAAUGAUUCUAUAAACUUAUGGCUAAGAUCGCCAAAGGGCGCAUUCGCGAAAUCAUUGAAAAUUAUCCGAAGCCCUGUUCAAGCUUAACAAAAUGACAAAUUUAAUUAAUGAAUUAAUUGUCACUAAGAUAUUUUGAGAAAAAUUCAAAAGCAAGCACCACAGAAAAACAAGAGAGGCAGGAGAAAUGUUUUUUAUAUUCGACAAUUUUGGAACUCGUUGCAGAAUUGGGAAAUCCUGGAUAAAUGCCGGCACUCUGCCCCAAGCAGUUUGUCAAAUGAGCAAACAAAAACAACAAAUAAAAGUAAAAAUAAUAUAAAUGUCAAUAAAAAUCAAUUUCGAAUUGAGGCAGUCAAAUUAACAAGUCAUUGUGGCCACAUUUAUGCUGUCAAAAUAUGACAAAAGACAAAAAAUAAAUAAAAUCACAGCACUGCGAUUUAUUGACACUUCUAAUUGUCAAUAAUAUAAA